rnacentral:misc_RNA from 1 species
GAUGAAGAACGUAGCGAAAUGCGAUAAGUAGUGUGAAUUGCAGAAUUCAGUGAAUCAUCGAAUCUUUGAACGCACAUUGCGCCCCUCGGUAUUCCGUGGGGCAUGCCUGUUCGAGCGUCAUUUAACCCCUCAAGCCUAGCUUGGUAUUGGGUGCUUGUCCCGCCUCUCGCGCGGCGACUCACCUCAAAGUCAUUGGCAGCCCGCAUCUCGCCGGCCGUGAGCGCAGCACAGACGCGCUCUUGGCAACGACGGAUCGGCUCUCCAAAAGCUUAUUUCAACCACUGACCUCGGAUCAGGUAGGGAUACCCGCUGAACUUAAGCAUAUCAAUAAGCGGUGGA